UACGUAGGGACCGAGCGUUGUCCGGAUUCAUUGGGCGUAAAGAGCUCGUAGGCGGCUGCUCAAGUCGAAUGUGAAAACUCGAGGCUCAACCUCGAGCCUGCAUUCGAUACUGGGCGGCUAGAGUCUGGUAGGGGGAUCUGGAAUUCCUGGUGUAGCGGUGGAAUGCGCAGAUAUCAGGAGGAACACCGGUGGCGAAGGCGGGAUCCUGGGGCAUUCUUGACGCUGAGGCGCGAAAGCUGGGGGAGCGAACGGG
rnacentral:rRNA from 1 species